rnacentral:rRNA from 1 species
GAUGAACGCUGGCGGCGUGCCUAAUACAUGCAAGUCGAGCGAACAGACGAGGAGCUUGCUCCUCUGACGUUAGCGGCGGACGGGUGAGUAACACGUGGAUAACCUACCUAUAAGACUGGGAUAACUUCGGGAAACCGGAGCUAAUACCGGAUAAUAUAUUGAACCGCAUGGUUCAAUAGUGAAAGACGGUUUUGCUGUCACUUAUAGAUGGAUCCGCGCCGCAUUAGCUAGUUGGUAAGGUAACGGCUUACCAAGGCGACGAUGCGUAGCCGACCUGAGAGGGUGAUCGCCCACACUGGAACUGAGACACGGUCCAGAGUCCUACGGGAGGCACCAGUAGGGAAUCUUCCGCAAUGGGCGAAAGCCUGACGGAGCAACGCCGCGUGAGUGAUGAAGGUCUUCGGAUCGUAAAACUCUGUUAUUAGGGAAGAACAAAUGUGUAAGUAACUAUGCACGUCUUGACGGUACCUAAUCAGAAAGCCACGGCUAACUACGUG